GGGUUGGUAGCAAACGCUGGCUUUGCAGCGGAUUCUUGCUCCGCCGUCACGAAGGUUCGAUUCCUUUCCAACCCACCC
rnacentral:tRNA from 1 species